AGGGAAACAAGGUUUGAACUAGCAGCGCCGCAGGCGCGCUCCUCGGGGCCGUGAGCGCGCCCCGGGGCCGGCCGGUCUGCUCGGGAGCGCGCCCCAUGGCCCAGCCCUGUCUCCUUUUAGCAUAGGGGCUUCGGCGCCAGCGGCCAGCGCUAGUCGGUCUGGUAAGGAUUUACAAAAGGUGCAGGUAUGAGCAGAUCUGAAGACUAACAUUUUGUGAACUUGUAAAACAGAAAACCUGUUUGAAAUGUGGUGGUUUCAGCAAGGCCUCAGUUUCCUUCCUUCAGCCCUUGUAAUUUGGACAUCUGCUGCUUUCAUAUUUUCAUACAUUACUGCAGUAACACUCCACCAUAUAGACCCGGCUUUACCUUAUAUCAGUGACACUGGUACAGUAGCUCCAGAAAAAUGCUUAUUUGGGGCAAUGCUAAAUAUUGCGGCAGUUUUAUGCAUUGCUACCAUUUAUGUUCGUUAUAAGCAAGUUCAUGCUCUGAGUCCUGAAGAGAACGUUAUCAUCAAAUUAAACAAGGCUGGCCUUGUACUUGGAAUACUGAGUUGUUUAGGACUUUCUAUUGUGGCAAACUUCCAGAAAACAACCCUUUUUGCUGCACAUGUAAGUGGAGCUGUGCUUACCUUUGGUAUGGGCUCAUUAUAUAUGUUUGUUCAGACCAUCCUUUCCUACCAAAUGCAGCCCAAAAUCCAUGGCAAACAAGUCUUCUGGAUCAGACUGUUGUUGGUUAUCUGGUGUGGAGUAAGUGCACUUAGCAUGCUGACUUGCUCAUCAGUUUUGCACAGUGGCAAUUUUGGGACUGAUUUAGAACAGAAACUCCAUUGGAACCCCGAGGACAAAGGUUAUGUGCUUCACAUGAUCACUACUGCAGCAGAAUGGUCUAUGUCAUUUUCCUUCUUUGGUUUUUUCCUGACUUACAUUCGUGAUUUUCAGAAAAUUUCUUUACGGGUGGAAGCCAAUUUACAUGGAUUAACCCUCUAUGACACUGCACCUUGCCCUAUUAACAAUGAACGAACACGGCUACUUUCCAGAGAUAUUUGAUGAAAGGAUAAAAUAUUUCUGUAAUGAUUAUGAUUCUCAGGGAUUGGGGAAAGGUUCACAGAAGUUGCUUAUUCUUCUCUGAAAUUUUUAACCACUUAAUCAAGGCUGACAGUAACACUGAUGAAUGCUGAUAAUCAGGAAACAUGAAAGAAGCCAUUUGAUAGAUUAUUCUAAAGGAUAUCAUCAAGAAGACUAUUAAAAACACCUAUGCCUAUACUUUUUUAUCUCAUAAAAUAAAGUCGAAAGACUAUGAUAUCAUAGUUUUUUAUACCUUAUUUAAGAGAAACAACCUGACGUGCACCAAUCAGUCUGCACAUCCCAACCCUUCACAUUUUAUAAAUUAUUGUAGAUCAUGUUUUGUUAGGAGCACUUUUAUGAGAGACAUUUUCCAUGACUAAAUAAUCUGCAUUAGUCAGUAAAUCCUUUAGAACUGGGUUUUGAAAUGGGAGUUUUAUCAUAUUAAGUCAUUUCUUGUAGUCUUACAUUUUUUGUUGUUGUUCUGGAAUCUACCUGUAAAGGAAAGUAGACCUGGAUUCAUGUGGGCUCUUUCAUGGCUUAAGUGUUGCCCAAGAGAUUUUGUAGGUAACGAUUUUUUUUUUUUUCUGGCCACAAUGCCAGAUACUAAGCUAAUUGGUCUAUCAUACACAUGCUUGCAGUAGUUUCAUGAAGUUUAGUCUCUGGUGUGAAAUUUUAAUCACCAGUGAAGGAGAGAGGCACCUGUAGGUAAAUUUACUUUAGUCAUAUUUUAUAUAAAACAAGGGUUAGUAUUCAUGUAACAUUGAGAAGUUUGGGAAUAACAGCAGAUAUGAUUAAUAACAAACAAAAGUCAUAACCAU
rnacentral:sRNA from 1 species